AUUGAACGCUGGCGGCAGGCCUAACACAUGCAAGUCGAGCGGAUGACGGGAGCUUGCUCCUUGAUUCAGCGGCGGACGGGUGAGUAAUGCCUAGGAAUCUGCCUGGUAGUGGGGGACAACGUUUCGAAAGGAACGCUAAUACCGCAUACGUCCUACGGGAGAAAGCAGGGGACCUUCGGGCCUUGCGCUAUCGGAUGAGCCUAGGUCGGAUUAGCUAGUAGGUGAGGUAAUGGCUCACCUAGGCGACGAUCCGUAACUGGUCUGAGAGGAUGAUCAGUCACACUGGAACUGAGACACGGUCCAGACUCCUACGGGAGGCAGCAGUGGGGAAUAUUGGACAAUGGGCGAAAGCCUGAUCCAGCCAUGCCGCGUGUGUGAAGAAGGUCUUCGGAUUGUAAAGCACUUUAAGUUGGGAGGAAGGGCGGUAAGUUAAUACCUUGCUGUUUUGACGUUACCGACAGAAUAAGCACCGGCUAACUCUGUGCCAGCAGCCGCGGUAACAC
rnacentral:rRNA from 1 species